rnacentral:tRNA from 1 species
AUGUGACAGAAUGCUUAUGUGAUAAAUUUAAGAUUUAAUAAUGAAAUUAAUUUCCUUUAGAA